UAAGCAUAUGACUAAGCGGAGGAAAAGAAACUUACGAGGAUUCCCCUAAUAACGGCGAACGAACCGGGAACAACCCACCUUGAAAAUCGGGCGACCCCAUCGCCUGAAAUGUAGUCUGUAGAAGCGUCCUCAGCGAUGGACCGGGCACAAGCCCGCUAGAAGGCGGCACCGGAGAGGGUGAGAACCCCGUCGUGCCUGGGCCCUGCUGCACCACCAAGAGCUAUCGGUGAGUCUAGUUGUUUGGGAAUGCAGCCCCAAUCGGACAGUAAAUUCCUUCCAAGGCUAAAUACCGCGAGGGAAAGAUAAAAAGGACUUUGAAAAGAGAGUCAAAGAGUGCUUGAAAUUGUCGGGAGGGAAGCAGAUGGGGGCCGACGAUGCGCCUCGGUCGGAUACGGAACGGCUUUGGCCGGUCUGCCGAUCGACUCGAGGUACUGACCGUUGCGGGCCGCUGCGGCGGCCUAGGCCCGUGGGUUUGUUCCCGACGGUCGAUGCGUCGUAGUCACGAUUGAGGGAUCCAGCGAGCGCCUCGGGGCAGGCGCUUCGACGCCCAGCGCGCUCCGGGCAAUGGCCAGCGGGCACCCCAUUCGGCCCGUCUUGAAACACGGACGAAGGAGUCUAACAUGUGUGCGAGUCAACAGGCGUGGAAACCCGUAAGGCGUAAGGAAGCUGACUCAGGUGGGAUGCCCUUCGGGGGUUGCACCGUCGACCGACCUAGAUCUUCUGAGAAGGGUUCGAGUGUGAGCAUGCCUGUCUGGACCCGAAAGAUGGUGAACUAUAUCUGAGUGGGGCGAAGCCAGAGGAAAGUCUGGUGGAGGUCCCCAGCGAUACUGACAUACAAAUCGUUCGCCUGACUUCGGUGUAGGGGCAAAAGACUAAUCGAACCAUCUAGUAGUUGGUUCCCUCCGAAGUUUCCCUCAAGAUAGUUGGAGCCCGCGGGCGAGUUCUAUCUGGUAAAGCAAUGACGACAGGCAUCGGGGGCGCAAUGCCCUCGACCUAUUCUCAAACAUUAAAUAGGUAAGACGGCGUGGCUACUCAAUUGAGCCGCGCCACAGAAUCGAGAGCUCUAAGUGGGCCACUUUUAAUAAGUAGAACUGGCGAAGUGGGAUGAACUGGAAGCCGGAUUACGGUGUCUAACUGCGCUAACCCAGAACCCACAAAGGGCGUUGGUCAAUUAAGACAGUAGGACAGUGGUCAUGGAAGUCGAAAUCUGCUAAGGAGUGUGUAACAACUCACCUGCSGAAUCAACUAGCCCCNAAAAUGGAUGGCGCUGAAGCGCGCGACCCAUACCCUGCCGUCGGGACGACUGCCAAGCCCCGAUGAGUAGUAGGACGCGGCGGCUGCUGCAGAACCCAGGGCGCGGAUCUUGGUGGUAGUAGUAAAUAUUCAAAUGAGAACUUUGAAAGCCGAAGAGGGGAAAGGUUCCAUGUGAACGACACUUGCACAUGGGUUAGUCGAUCCUAAGAGACGGGGGAAGCCCGUUAGAGAGAGCCUCUUCGCACGAGCUUCGAAAGGGAAUCGGAUUAAAAUUCCUAAACCGUGACGCGGCGGCUGAAAGCAACGUUAGGAAGUCCGGAGACGUCGGCAGGGGCCUCGGGAAGAGUUAUCUUUUUUGUUUAACAGCCUGUCCACCCUAGAAACGGCUCAGCCGAAGGUAGGGUCCAGCGGCUGGAAGAGCACCGCAUGUCGCGUGGUGUCCGGUGUACCCCCGGCGGCCCUUGAAAAUUAGGAGGACCGAGUGCCGCCCGCUCCCAGUCAUACUCAUAGCCGCAUCAGGUCUCCAAGGUGAACAACCUCUAGUCGAUGGAACAAUAUAGGCAAGGGAAGUUGGCAAAACGGAUCCGUAACCUCGGGAAAAGGAUUGGCUCUAAGGGCUGGGCUCGGGGGUCCCACUCCCGUCAACUGUAGGUGGACUGCUCGAGCUGUACCCGCGGCGAGAGAGGCUUGCCUCGUGCCGACCGGGGGAAGGACUGGGAACGGCCUCCCCACUGGGGCCUUCCACGGGCGUCGAACAGUCGACUCAGAACUGGUACGGACAAGGGGAAUCCGACUGUUUAAUUAAAACCAAGCAUUGCGAUGGUCCCUAUAGAUGCUCACGCAGUGUUAUUUCUGCCCAGUGCUUUGAAUGUCAAAGCGAAGAAAUUCAACCAAGCGCGGGUAAACGGCGGGAGUAAGUAUGACUCUCUUAAGGUAGCCAAAUGCUUCGUCAUCUAAUUAGUGAUGCACAUGAAUGAAUUAAUGAGAUUCCCACUAUCCCUGUCUACUAUCCAGCGAAACCACAACCAAGGGAACCGGCUUGCAAGAAUCAGCGGGGGAAAGAAGACCCUAUUGAGCAUGACUCUAGUCCGACUUUGUGAAAUGACUUGAGAGGUGUAGGAUAAGUGGGAACCCUCGAGCGUAAAUGAAAUACCACUACUUUUAACAUUAUUUUACUUAUUCCGUGAGACGGAAGUGGGGUAGUGCCCCCGUUUUUGGUCCCAAGGCUUGCUCACGUGGGACGAUGGGGGCGGAAGACAUUGUCAAGUGAGGAGUUUGGCUGGGGCGGCACAUCUGUUAAAAGAUAACGUAGGUGUCCUAAAAUGAGCUCAACGAGAACAUAAAUCUCGUGUGGAACAGAAGGGUAAAAGCUCAUUUGAUUCUUAUUUCCAGUACGAAUACGAACUGUGAAAGCGUGGCCUAUCGAUCCUUUAGACCUUCGGAACUUGAAGCUAGAGGUAUCAGAAAAGUUACCACAGGGAUAACUGGCUUGUGGCAGCCAAGCGUUCAUAGCGACGUUGCUUUUUGAUCCUUUGAUGUCGGUUGUUCCUAUCAUUGUGAAGUAGAAUUCACCAAGUGUUGGAUUGCUCACCCGCCAAUAGGGAACGUGAGCUGGGUUUAGACCGUCGUGAGGCAGGUUAGUUUUACCCUACUGACGGCUGUGCCCCUAUAGUAAUUCAACCUAGUACGAGAGGAACCGUUGAUUCGCACAAUUGGUCAUCGCGCUCGGUUGAAAAGCCUGUGGCGCGAAGCUACCAUGCGUCGGACUAUGACUGAAUGCCUCUAAGUCAGAAUCCAAGCUAAAGACGCGGUGCUUGCUCCCGCCGACCGUUUGCCGACCCUCAGUAGGGGCCAUGAGGCCCUCAAGUGCACUUGUCGUAGGUGAAGCUCGUGUGGCGGAAGAGUCGUGCGGGGCCGCCUUGAAUUAUAAUUCCUACCGGACGACAGGUAGAAUCCUUUACAGACGACUUAAAUACGCGACGGGGUAUUGUAAGUGGCAGAGUG
rnacentral:rRNA from 1 species